AGAAAAGGAGCUGAUAGCAAUUUCAUUGUUAAUGAAAAGAAGUAAUUAAGGUACGGCUAGGUUCCCCCUUUUUUC
rnacentral:tRNA from 1 species